GAGUUUGAUCGUGGCUCAGAUUGAACGCUGGCGGCAGGCCUAACACAUGCAAGUCGAGCGGUAGAGAGAAGCUUGCUUCUCUUGAGAGCGGCGGACGGGUGAUAAUGCCUAGGAAUCUGCCUGGUAGUGGGGGAUAACGCUCGGAAACGGACGCUAAUACCGCAUACGUCCUACGGGAGAAAGCAGGGGACCUUCGGGCCUUGCGCUAUCAGAUGAGCCUAGGUCGGAUUAGCUAGUUGGUGAGGUAAUGGCUCACCAAGGCGACGAUCCGUAACUGGUACUGAGAGGAUGAUCAGUCACACUGGAACUGAGACACGGUCCAGACUCCUACGGGAGGCAGCAGUGGGGAAUAUUGGACAAUGGGCGAAAGCCUGAUCCAGCCAUGCCGCGUGUGUGAAGAAGGUCUUCGGAUUGUAAAGCACUUUAAGUUGGGAGGAAGGGCAGUAAAUUAAUACUUUGCUGUUUUGACGUUACCGACAGAAUAAGCACCGGCUAACUCUGUGCCAGC
rnacentral:rRNA from 1 species